ACCUGUCCCAGGCCAGCACUGGGGUGCUCUUUAAGCUCUCUCUGUUCUCAUGGCAGGCUGACAGGCCUCAGCAGGCUAGGUGAGAGUGAAAUGGCAUGGUGAAUGAUACCCCACUAAGGUAUACAUUUACGUGGGAGCUGUUCCUGAGAUGAAUCAAGCCUGCUGUCUGUGCAAAGAAGGAUGAGUACAGUAGAACUGCUGAAGCCUGAGCAUUCAGCAGAGAAACUAUAGCAGACAUGAGUGAAAUGCUAGGUGAUAUCAGAGGUACACAUCCAUGCCUGUACGAAGAAUUAGAAGUGUGGCAGCUCCCAUCUUCAAAGUGGUCAUCCAAAGGCAUGGGCCACCACUCGUGUGAACAUAAGUAUAUCACUUCAUAGUUUAGUUUCCAUCUGACUUGCCGUGGGAUUUACUCUAGCUCUAGCUUUUAAAUGGAAAUGCAAUGCCUUUAUCCCAACUCAGUCUUGCAAUCUUUUCAACCUCAAUACUGAGUCUGAUCAGCACCAGUAUCUACAGGGAGAGACGUAGAAGACCCUGUGUUUAGCAGCAUUAGUUAGCAAAGCAAAGGUAUUUAUUACAAAGGACAGUUUCUUAUGUUUCAAAUAAGUAUAGUUUAAACCCAUACAGAUAAAGUUAUAUCACCUUAACAAUGCAUUGUUUAACUUUAGCCGGUACAAUUAUGUUAUUUUUGGUCAACCUACUGAGCAACCAAGCCAUCUUUCCUGUCCAAUCCAAGCGUGCUAUGUCUUUCUUCAUUGUGAUAUUAGAUGACACAAGAAAGAUGUAUCACAACAAAGCCAAUUGUCUUUUUUUCAGUGUUGAGAUGGUUAUUUUCCCUACUCUUCUUUUGCUGUGAGCACCAGGAAGAGAAAGUUUGUUCUUAUAGUCUGUCUACAUUGCAAUGGAAAAUCUGAACUCUUCUCCCAAUAUUACAAGUAGUAUAAAGUUUACUAUGUUGGGACUUCAUGGGUCCAGUACAUACUCUGUCACCACUACUAAGGUCAACAGAAAGUGCUAGCACAGAACUUUAUUCUGUGAAGAAGACAUUUCUUUCCUUUCCUUUCAUGAGGAACAAUUGUCUUCUCUACUGCUUAUUUUUCUUUACCACAGUUUUAGCUGUUAAAAAAUAAUAAUGUAUUCAUAGAAUCAUAGAAUCACUUGGGUUGGAAGGGACCUCAAGGAUCAUCAAGUUCCAACCUCCCUGCAGCAGGCAGGGUUGCCAACGGCUAGAUCAAAUACUAUAUCAUAUUGCCCAGGACCCUGUCCAACCUGGACUUAAACAUCUCCAGGGACAGAGCAUCCACAGCCUCCCUGAGCAGCCUGUUUCAGCACCUCACCAUACUCUCAGUGAGAGAUACACUGUAUUAAUGCAGUACUUUGGAUUUUAC
rnacentral:lncRNA from 1 species